AGUAUGAUCACCUGAUCCAGACCUGGCCAAUCAGCCUGUUCUGUCCCCCAGGCCACAGUGAUUUGUUUAGGGAUGAUCAUGUGACCUACAGAAAGCUUCAGGAUAGUGGCUUCCUUGGGUAGGGGAGGCUGAUGGUCAGACAGGGAAGAAGCCCACAGACAGAUGCAAGUGCUGGUUAAUGUUCUGAUUCUUGUGUUGGAUGACCAGGUCUUGGGUGUUUAUUUAUAUAAAUAAACAGAGGAGAACCGUUUAUGAACCUAUGGCAAGAGGAUGGCGUGAAUAAGGGAUCAUGAUUAAUAGAAUUCAGAGACAAAGGGAGAGAAAACAAACAAAAAACACCUCUGGAACUUGUUGGAGCUCUUGGAAAAGAAAAGCUGUGAGUGGAUGUUCAAGAGGGUAACCUAGGGCCUCAUGCAUUGGGGCAUUCAGAAGUUUCGUACUGGAUCAAAAACAACGAAUGAAGCCUGCAGUGCAGAGAAAACAUUGUGAUAUGAGGGUAAGUAGGAAACACAUCUAGACAGCAGCCCUGGCCCUAGGUCACACUGCAACACUGUAAGCAUUAUAUCCCAGUGGGGACAAGGACUGAGGGGUCAGGGAGAACGAGGACAGUUAAUUUACAGAGAAGCCCAGCUGGUGGGGGAUUGUGAUUUGGUUUCGUUUUCCAUUAACGUGGUUUGUGCGGCGCAGGUAUGCAAAGGCGGCCCCACGUGAGUGAAGCACGCACCGUGUGCACCACUCAGCAUCGUCACACAUCCUGACAUCCUGACAGGAGUCCUGUGGGCCUUUUGUGAUGCCCAAUUUAUAGACAAGGAAGUCAAGGCCUAGUGCAGCAGAACAUGCUGCAGUAGGGCCGGGAAUUGAACUCAGAUCUGCCCGCCUCUCAGCCUUCCCCUGUGGGAAGCCCUCUCAGGUUGGAGGACUGUGAGGCAACUUCUUUUGCAGGCCCAGCACAUGCUGUGGAGCUGGUGCAGACACCUGGUUUCUGCAUCUUGGGAUCUCACACCCUCAGGCUGGGGGAAGCAGGGGAGGAGGCUGGUAGGUCUUGCUGUGAUGACUGGAGCUGUGGCAGCCACCUUGUGACCAUGAGGGAAAAGCCAAGAGACUAGUUGAGAAGCCAACUGAGAGUUUUACCGCCAACUGAGAGUUUUACCUCCAUUGAGCUGCUGGAUUUGCCAACUCUAGAACCACUCAUUCUGGGUAUCUCAUUAGGCAAGAUAAUAAAUUUCUCAUUAUUCAAGCUGUUUUCAUUGGUCUUUCUGUUACUCACAGACAAAGCAUGACAAUUGAAGUACUCAGUGAGGAAUGUGGUGAAGUUGCCUGAAGUCACACCCUUGCCAGGAAUAGUGGAAGGCUAUAUGGGCUUUGUGAGCCCACUCCCUCACCAGGGGGCUUUGCCCUUUCCAUCCAGGAGGUUCAAAUCCAGCCUCAAACCUUUCUAGACAAAAUAUCUGUCAAAAGAGUAUGAUAAAACAGAGCAUCUCUGUUUAUUCCUCAAUAAGAGAUAGAGAGAGAGAUGAGGACACUCUACCUAAGGUGUGUGCUGGAGGAAAUGUAACUUCUGUCCUCUAAACAGAAAUAAGCACGAGUCUCUCCCGUAUCCCUGGCAGCCUCCACCUGGGAGCUUUUAUUCCUGCCCAUGUUUGCACUUCAUGGAACCAGGAGUUCC
rnacentral:lncRNA from 1 species